rnacentral:rRNA from 1 species
UGGGGAAUAUUGGACAAUGGGCGCAAGCCUGAUCCAGCCAUGCCGCGUGUGUGAAGAAGGCCUUUUGGUUGUAAAGCACUUUAAGCGAGGAGGAGGCUACUUGGAUUAAUACUCUAAGAUAGUGGACGUUACUCGCAGAAUAAGCACCGGCUAACUCUGUGCCAGCAGCCGCGGUAAUACAGAGGGUGCGAGCGUUAAUCGGAUUUGCUGGGCGUAAAGCGUGCGUAGGCGGCUUCUUAAGUCGGAUGUGAAAUCCCUGAGCUUAACUUAGGAAUUGCAUUCGAUACUGGGAAGCUAGAGUAUGGGAGAGGAUGGUAGAAUUCCAGGUGUAGCGGUGAAAUGCGUAGAGAUCUGGAGGAAUACCGAUGGCGAAGGCAGCCAUCUGGCCUAAUACUGACGCUGAGGUACGAAAGCAUGGGGAGCAAACAGG